rnacentral:tRNA from 1 species
GGGUCCGUAGCUCAGCAAGGUAGAGCGUCAGCCUCUUAAGCUGAGGGUCGAGGGUUCGAAUCCCUCCGGACCCGCCA